rnacentral:rRNA from 11 species
AAGCAGGACCUAAAUAUCCUAAAGUCACUAGAUCCCAUCUGAUCUUGGAAGCUAAAUAGGGGCAGCCCUGAUUAGUACUUGAAUGGGAGAUUGAAUACCAGUUACAGUCUGCUAUAUUUC